AUGAACGCUGGCGGCGUGCCUAAUACAUGCAAGUCGAGCGCACGGACGAGAAGCUUGCUUUUCUGAUGUUAGCGGCGGACGGGUGAGUAACACGUGGAUAACCUACCUAUAAGACUGGGAUAACUUCGGGAAACCGGAGCUAAUACCGGAUAAUAUUUUGAACCGCAUGGUUCAAAAGUGAAAGACGGUCUUGCUGUCACUUAUAGAUGGAUCCGCGCUGCAUUGGCUAGUUGGUAAGGUAACGGCUUACCAAGGCAACGAUGCAUAGCCGACCUGAGAGGGUGAUCGGCCACACUGGAACUGAGACACGGUCCAGACUCCUACGGGAGGCAGCAGUAGGGAAUCUUCCGCAAUGGGCGAAAGCCUGACGGAGCAACGCCGCGUGAGUGAUGAAGGUCUUCGGAUCGUAAAACUCUGUUAUUAGGGAAGAACAUAUGUGUAAGUAACUGUGCACAUCUUGACGGUACCUAAUCAGAAAGCCACGGCUAACUACGUG
rnacentral:rRNA from 1 species